rnacentral:rRNA from 1 species
UGUCUUUUUGAAAAUAAUAUAAAGUCUAAUCUGCCCACUGAUUUAAUAUUAAAGGGCUGCAGUAUAUUGACUGUACAAAGGUAGCAUAAUCCUUAGUCAUUUAAUUGAUGACUUGUAUGAAGGAUUGGAUGAAAUAUAAACUGUCUCUUAAUUAUAUUUAGAAUUUAAUUUUUUAAUUAAAAAGUUAAAAUGAAUUAAAAAGACGAGAAGACCCUAUAGAGUUUUAUAAUUAAAUUAAUUGAGAUUUUUUGUAAGAUUAAAAUUAAAAUUAAUUUAUUUAUUUUGUUGGGGUGACAGAAAAAUAUGGAGAACUUUUUUUAUAUUAUUACAUAAAUAAGUGAAUAGAUGAUCCAAUAUUAUUGAUUAUAAGAAAAAAUUACCUUAGGGAUAACAGCGUAAUUUUUUUUUUUAGUUCAUAUAAAAAAAAAAGUUUGCGACCUCGAUGUUGGAUUAAGAUAAAAUUUAAAUGCAGAAG